CGUUGUGUUCACUUUGUGCUAACUCAUUAGGCUGAACAUACGUUAUCUGUGCACUUUUCUAUACUUCAAUGAAAAUACUGAAAGAAUUGGAGUUAGUAAAUAUAGACAACUCGUUUAUUUUCUUUGCAAAGAGGAGCAAAAAAUGAGGUAGACACUUGGAGCAAAGUGACUCAAUAAAAGAAUUUUUGUUUUAAGAUGGAAGCAAUGCAGCAUAUUUAUACUUGUUAUGUGAAUGAUCCACUAGCAAGAAAAACCUGCUUAAGCAGGAGAGGGCGGGGAGCUAGAGCAGCGCUGCUGAGGUGGCGAGAGAGGCUCUAAGAGUGCCCCAACAGUGGGAGACGGGAAGGCAGAUGGGGACAGAUGCUGGCAGGUAAGGAGACGUGACAGCUAGAGUUUGUGGAAGUUCUCUGCUGUUUGUUUCCAUUUUUUCAAGAAAGUAGGCAGCUAAUAGUGAAUACAGGAGAGGAGAUGUGGAAGUUUUGAGUGGAGCAGACGUAAAAUAGUUCCAGAAGGCUGGUUUAGGAAAGUGUACUGCAUUGGUCCACUGUAAGAUCCUAGUGCAGGUUUGUGAGCUUAAGCAAAUCCAGUCAACAUGGUGUUUUCCCUUCACAAUCUGCUGUACCUAUGCAUGCACAAUACCAAUUAAGCAGAAAGUUGGAUUUAACUCUGGUUUUGACAAAGUGAAUAGGAGGGAAAGCAAGUUGAGGCUGAAUGCAAGGAAAUGAUUGCAAGGGACCAGAGAGCGUGAAUCAGAGAGUACAGAAAGAGGCCAUGAAAGGCAGUGAGGAAAAAUGAAAAGGUGGAAGGGUCAAUGGAAGGAAGGCUCCCAGUUGGGUAUUAUUGGAGGUACAGUACUGCGGCCAGUGAGGCAGAAAGACAGAUGGUGGGCUGGGGGACACUGGAGCACUAUAGAAAAAGAGGGCAAGGCAGGCACGCUGAACUCCUGUGCUGAGGAGGGCAAGGCUUAUGGAUGUGUACUGCUGAGGGAGGGGAAGCAUCCAAGCAGCUGAGAGGCCAGAGAGCUAUGAAAUCAUUUGUUUAUGUUCAAGACAGAAAGACAGCCAGAAAUCCUGAACCUUCUGAACAUACAAACAUACCCCCCAAAAUCACACCUGCAUUUCAUCAAGCCUCUAGAGCUGCUGGGUCCAACAAGACGGCCACUAGCCACAUGGGGCUCCUAGGACUUGAAAGGUGGCAAGUGCAACAAAGGAGCAAAAUUUAACAGUAUUUCAUUUAAAUUAACUUGAAUUUAAAAACUGACAUUUGAUUCAGUCAUUGGAAAUUUUUUCAGUGUGUCUGGAAUAACCUGGCUAUGUGAAACGACUUCUUCAACUGCAAAUUUUAUGAAAUCUAAAUACAGAUCAAGUGCUUCUGAAGAUCAAUGGCCUCAAAGGGGCAGUGAGGCAUGAAGGGACAUCGAUCCUACCUCCAGGCCCAGUGACAGGACAGACGGGAGCAGAGACAGCCAAAAGUUUGGAGAGACUGCAGUGGAAGUCCAGACCCCAAGAAAGAGCCAGUUCCAGAUAAUGCAAGAAGGUGUUCUCAAAGAAGAGGUCCCCUUUCAAGUGCUCAAUGACCACAUGUGGCCUUCGCAGCAGUCCUGAAUGGCACAGCACAAGGCUGAGUUGCUGCGGCACAGACCUACAAGGCCUGCAGAGCCUAGAACACUUCCUAUCUGGCCCCAUGGAAACGGUCUGCCAAUCCCUGCUCGCGAGGACUGACGUUUGGUUGCCAGAGGAGCAGGGUUGCCAACUUACCGGCCGUGGUUGCUGAAGGAAUGGUGUUGGUUGCCAAGAUAGGUGCUACUGUUGCUGCAGCCACU